CAAAGGAAGACCCCGACCGGCCACUCCGGCCACCACAAAGGGCCGUUGGGCGCUGGCGUGGGGCCAGGUGCUGCACGCUGCACACAGCCAGGGAUAGGCCGUGCAGAUGGGGCCUGCAGAGCCCCCCCCCCACUCCUGUGUACGAGAGAGUGCAGAUCUGAGAGUGAGAGACUGGCGGCCUGCGUGUCCAGCGGGAACUGAACCAGCUGAGGUCGGCCUACAGUCUUGCAGUGCGAUAGGAGCGAAAACCAAAGAUGCAGCGGAAGGAAGGAUUGGCCAGGAACCCUAUUAUCUCAGCAACAAGGAAUGAGAAAUGGAAUUAAAAACACCCAAAACAAGGUCUGUCGCACACCAGCCGCACUGGCUCCUAUCUUCCCAUGUACCGUAUAUAACAUCCUUACGCUGCACAAAACCCACACUAAAAAUCAAAACAGCCUCGCACUUUGCACGGUAUCUUAUUUCCUACAUCACAGCGUUGCUCGCGCUGACCCAGCA